rnacentral:lncRNA from 1 species
CAUCUACUGAAAAUAAAAAGCUUUAGGGAACACUUGAUGCCUUGGUCAACCUAGUAACUCAGAUUGCCAUGAAUAAAAAACCUGCAGAAUCCGAAGAAUGUGAGUGCCAUCACCUUGAGGUCUGGCAACCAAAUUCAAUUACUGAUUAGCCUUAAUUUUCUCCUAUUUCUUAACCCUUUUUGUCACCAUUUUAAUUACUGAUUAGCCUUAAUUGUCAAAUUAAUUAUGCAGUUUUAUCAUUUGGGCCUACUUGACUAAUUUUGUGUUUUUAAUUUAAUUUCAGGAGAAUUAUAAGCAAUUGGGCUUGAAUCCAGAAUUGGGCUUGAACUUGAAGAGAACAAACAAUUUUAUUUUAUCGAAUCUUAUCUUAUCCAGAUUUUAUUUCAGCUAGAUUUUAUUUCGUCCAGAUUUUAUUUCAUCCAAUCUUAUAUUAUCUUGUCCAGAUUUUAUUUUAUUUCAUUUAUGGGCUUGGACUUAAAAUAGAUUUGUAAGCUUUCGGGCUGAGGACCUAUAUAACAGCACCA